rnacentral:piRNA from 1 species
UAGACGAAGAAUCCCAGCCGAUGACAGC